AACGAACGCUGGCGGCAUGCCUAACACAUGCAAGUCGAACGAGACCUUCGGGUUUAGUGGCGCACGGGUGCGUAACGCGUGGGAACCUGCCCUUAGGUUCGGAAUAACUCCCCGAAUGGGGUGCUAAUACCGGAUAAUGUCUCCGGACCAAAGAUUUAUCGCCUUUGGAUGGGCCUGCGUUGGAUUAGCUAGUUGGUAGGGUAAAAGCCUACCAAGGCGACGAUCCAUAGCUGGUUUGAGAGGAUGAUCAGCCACACUGGGACUGAGACACGGCCCAGACUACUACGGGAGGCAGCAGUGGGGAAUAUUGGACAAUGGGCGAAAGCCUGAUCCAGCAAUGCCGCGUGAGUGAUGAAGGCCUUAGGGUUGUACAGCUCUUUUACCCGGGAUGGUAAUGACAGUACCGGGAGAAUAAGCUCCGGCUAACUCCGUG
rnacentral:rRNA from 1 species